rnacentral:rRNA from 13 species
CCGCGGCUAGACGGAAAGACCCCGUGAACCUUUACUAUAGCUUUGCACUGGACUUUGAAUUUGCUUGUGUAGGAUAGGUGGGAGGCUUUGAAGCGUGGACGCCAGUUCGCGUGGAGCCAUCCUUGAAAUACCACCCUGGCAACUUUGAGGUUCUAACUCUGGUCCGUUAUCCGGAUCGAGGACAGUGUAUGGUGGGUAGUUUGACUGGGGCGGUCUCCUCCCAAAGAGUAACGGAGGAGCACGAAGGUGUGCUAAUCAUGGUC